rnacentral:rRNA from 1 species
GACGAACGCUGGCGGCGUGCUUAACACAUGCAAGUCGAACGGAAAGGCCCUGCUUUUGUGGGGUGCUCGAGUGGCGAACGGGUGAGUAACACGUGAGUAACCUGCCCUUGACUUUGGGAUAACUUCAGGAAACUGGGGCUAAUACCGGAUAGGAGCUCCUGCUGCAUGGUGGGGGUUGGAAAGUUUCGGCGGUUGGGGAUGGACUCGCGGCUUAUCAGCUUAUUGGUGGGGUAGUGGCUUACCAAGGCUUUGACGGGUAGCCGGCCUGAGAGGGUGACCGGCCACAUUGGGACUGAGAUACGGCCCAGACCCCUACGGGAGGCAGCAGUGGGGAAUAUUGCACAAUGGGCGGAAGCCUGAUGCAGCAACGCCGCGUGCGGGAUGACGGCCUUCGGGUUGUAAACCGCUUUCGCCUGUGACGAAGCGUGAGUGACGGUAAUGGGUAAAGAAGCACCGGCUAACUACGUG